AAGCAGAGGGGGCUUAGUGGUGGGGUGACUGCGUACCUUUUGUAUAAUGGGUCAGCGACUUAUAUUCUGUAGCAAGGUUAACCGUAUAGGGGAGCCGGAGGGAAACCGAGUCUUAAUUGGGCGUUAAGUUGCAGGGUAUAGACCCGAAACCCGGUGAUCUAGCCAUGGGCAGGUUGAAGGUUGGGUAACACUAACUGGAGGACCGAACCGACUAAUGUUGAAAAAUUAGCGGAUGACCUGUGGCUGGGGGUGAAAGGCCAAUCAAACCGGGAGAUAGCUGGUUCUCCCCGAAAGCUAUUUAGGUAGCGCCUCGUGAAUUCAUCUCCGGGGGUAGAGCACUGUUUCGGCUAGGGGGCCAUCCCGGCUUACCAACCCGAUGCAAACUGCGAAUACCGGAGAAUGUUAUCACGGGAGACACACGGCGGGUGCUAACGUCCGUCGUGAAGAGGGAAACAACCCAGACCGCCAGCUAAGGUCCCAAAGUCAUGGUUAAGUGGGAAACGAUGUGGGAAGGCCCAGACAGCCAGGAUGUUGGCUUAGAAGCAGCCAUCAUUUAAAGAAAGCGUAAUAGCUCACUGGUCGAGUCGGCCUGCGCGGAAGAUGUAACGGGGCUAAACCAUG
rnacentral:rRNA from 1 species